rnacentral:rRNA from 1 species
AAUCAACGCUGGCGGCGUGCCUAACACAUGCAAGUCGAGCGCGAAAGCGGGGCAACCCGCAAGUAGAGCGGCGAACGGGUGAGUAACGCGUGGGUGAUCUACCUCCGAGUGGGGAACAACAUCGGGAAACUGGUGCUAAUACCGCAUGACAUCCUCAGGUCACACUGAGGAUCAAAGCCGGGGACCGUAAGGCCUGGCGCUUGGAGAGGAGCCCGCGUCCGAUUAGCAGUUGGCGGGGUAACGGCCCACCAAGGCGACGAUCGGUAGCCGGCCUGAGAGGGCGGACGGCCACACUGGGACUGCGACACGGCCCAGACUCCUACGGGAGGCAGCAGUGGGGAGUAUUGGACAAUGGGGGCAACCCUGAUCCAGCAAUGCCGCGUGAGUGAUGAAGGCCUUAGGGUUGUAAAGCUCUUC